GACAGAGGGUGCAAACGUUGUUCGGAAUUACUGGGCGUAAAGCGCGUGUAGGCUGCUCGGAAAGUCGGAUGUGAAAGCCCUGGGCUCAACCUAGGAAGUGCAUUCGAAACUACCGAGCUAGAGUUCUGGAGAGGAAGGAGGAAUUCUCGGUGUAGAGGUGAAAUUCGUAGAUAUCGAGAGGAACACCGGUGGCGAAGGCGGCCUUCUGGACAGUGACUGACGCUGAGACGCGAAAGCGUGGGGAGCAAACAGG
rnacentral:rRNA from 1 species